AUGAUCAACUUGGUGCUGGAUCCGGUGCAUAAUGAUACCCCCCUUUGGAGAUGGAAUGCUGCAAGCUCAUAUACCUCGAAGUCGACAUAUGACAUGUUAUGGCACGGCAGUGUUCGAUGUGCGUCGGCUGCUGCAAUCUGGAAAUGCUGGGCGCCCCUAUCCUGUAAGAUUUUUAUGUGGCUCGCGAUGCAAUAUCCGCUCUGGACAGCAGACAGACGGUUACGACAUGGGCUGCAAGAUCACACCUCUGCUUGUUAUAUCUGCGCCCAGGAGGAAGACUCGAUUGAUCACUUAUUACUGCACUGUGUCUUCGCGAGACAAGUCUGGCACAACUGCUUUCUGAAAGCGAGAAUCAGUGACACACUGGUGCCGACGGUGUACGACAAGAUUGAAGAUUGGUGGCUAGAAGCUCGUGCGUGCAUCCCGAAGGUUAACAGGAGAGGGUUCGACUCGGUUGUCAUGCUCAUUUGCUGGCAUCUUUGGAAGCAUCGUAACGGUUUGGUAUUCGGACCAGCCAGAACUAGCUUGACGGUGGGUGCAUUCACAAGUCAGGUCUUCGACGUUUUGAGAUCUUGGGUGAGUGCAGGAGCGAAUGGAGUCGAAAUAUUUUGUGAGUAG
rnacentral:rRNA from 1 species